rnacentral:rRNA from 1 species
AGAACGAACGCUGGCGGCAUGCCUAACACAUGCAAGUCGAACGUGAUCCAGGCUUCGGCCUGGUGAAAGUGGCAGACGGGUGAGUAACGCGUGGGAACCUGCCCUGUGGUAGGGAAUAACCGUGGGAAACUGCGGCUAAUACCCUAUGAGUCCUUCGGGAGAAAGAUUUAUCGCCAUAGGAGGGGCCCGCGUCGGAUUAGGUAGUUGGUGGGGUAACGGCCUACCAAGCCUUCGAUCCGUAGCUGGUCUGAGAGGAUGAUCAGCCACACUGGGACUGAGAUACGGCCCAGACUCCUACGGGAGGCAGCAGUGGGGAAUAUUGGACAAUGGGGGCAACCCUGAUCCAGCAAUGCCGCGUGGAUGAUGAAGGCCUUCGGGUUGUAAAGUCCGUUUCGGCGGGGAAGAUGAUGACGGUACCGCAGAGAGCCCGGCUAACUCGCGCCAGCAGCCGC